rnacentral:lncRNA from 1 species
AGACGAAAGUAGGGGAGAGCAAGCGGGCGCGUUCUGUGGUUCGGCACGAAGAUCACACUGUGGAGAGGCGACAAAUGGUGAAUGCUCUGGGACGACGUGUUUCCGAAUUCUGGUAGAGGGAGAGCAUCCGGUCCGGAAAAGGCGAUGAGUGUCGCUCGAGGCAGGGUUCCGACUGUGUGCGUUGGCGAGUCUGCGACGUGCUGCGUGUGUUGGUGAAACAUGUGUUUGGAAGGCGCGGUAAUAUGGGGACACAUGAAGGAACGGGUGAGAGUACACCGUGUGGCGUUUCCUGAUUUUUGCGGAAUGGUUGGGCAUGUGCAGGCGUCGAAGGUAAUUGAGGGCAAAAACAGAUUUGUUUUGGUAUGACGGCAACUUAGUAACAUGUCGAGACUACCGAUGAUGAAAGCACCGUGAUGACGUGGUUCCGGUUCGCGGCCUCAGGCACUGUGUGUCCGGUAUGGACAAAUAUAAAAGCAGCUGCUGGAGCCUGACAUUCGAGUUUACUUUAUCUCAAACUUUACGAUUCUUUGUGCGUGGCGGGGCCACACGUUUCAGGUGGUUAUCGCUGUCUGUGUAUAGCUACUGGAAAGGGUGAGAUAUGCUUAAUAUUGUGUUACUUGGCAAGUGCUCUUGGGGUACGGGUGGGCAUAUGCAGGCAGAGGGAGACAGCGGGUUCGAACCCACGGCAAGAUCUUCUCGUACUGUACGUCGCUACAUGGCUGUGGAGAGGGCGCUAGAAUUACGGGUCACCAUGGGGGUGUGUGGAAUGUCUGUCGCUUAUUAAAAGAGAGGCAGGAAAACGAUGGGAGGCAGACAAAAUCUUAGGUGGUGAAGCAUCGUUAGGCUGCAGCUACGCUCGGUUAGUACCAUUUUCAUACUGGAAAUCAGUCGUUCACAGCCAGUCUAAGUGAGGUGCCUGGAGUCUAAUUUCACUAUGUCCGAACUGGAGGGCAUUUUUUCCCGUGUUCGUGAUUGCAAGAGUUGGCAGGAAGAAAUACAGAAUCGCGGCUGCCUAUACUGACAUGCUUCGUGGUGGUGUAACGAACGUGCAAUAUGUGGGCGUUUGGAUCGUAUCGAUUGCAGGAACCGCGUUUAUGUGGCUCUCACCCCUCGACUGCUUGCGUGUCGAAGAUCGUCUCGCCUUGACACCAAUUGGCAAGCGAAUGCUGCAUGCGAGCUGGGCAAGGUGAAACUGGAUGUCCUACGCGAUAACGUGAAUAUCAUUCGUGGACGCACAAAUGGUGUGCUGUGGAACCCUGGCUUAAUUGAAGCCAGCCGCUCACUGUUCGUCACAUUGCGAUGAACAAGCCACAUGCAGACAUCAUAGAGAUUUACGCUCAUACCCAGCCCGGGUCGGAGCAUGAGAAGUGAUCUCGUCGUCGAUAUCCAGUUAUAUUGUCGGUCUUGGCUUUUCCAGUCUCUUUGGGGUUUGCUACUGUGUGCAUGCGCGUU